rnacentral:lncRNA from 1 species
AAGGUUUGUCAUAGGUAGCAUAUUUUUGAUAGAUAUUUAAGCAUCAUUUGAUUAUGAAGCAACUCUAGUUAUCUUAUUGUCUUUGGUUACCGAACACACUAUCCCUUCUCAUCUAUAUUCUGUAAUCCACCAUCUUCAAAGAACACAUAAUUUUGAUGUUUGAACCUAGCAAGAUGUUCCACCAGAAAUGCAAUCCCAAAUGAUGAUCAAAAUUGCAAUCCCAAAUGAUGAUUAAAAUUGAGCGGACUAGAAGUUAGCUGUUUCAUAUAGAUUACCUUGCAAUUCUAUUUACAUUCUUACAUUACAUGGUCAUGAAAGUCGUCCAAUUCUGUAACCAGAAAAUUUAUAGAUUUGUAUCAACUGAUUUGGUU